UAAUUUAUUUCUUUACACUUGAAUGCUAAAAUGCUAGAACUUGGUUAAAGCUAAUUGCCUUUGUGCGUAAUUUUGGCCGUUAACCACUUUUGCACGUGUCGCCUUCUCAAGGUAUUUUUGUAAGUAUUACACAAGUAAUUUACGUUUUUCAACAGAUGGCCUCUUGCAAAGCCUCGUACGUCUACUACUGUUGUGUAUCGUGGUACACAAGCAAGGGAAGAACGCGAAAGAAGCCCGGAACACACUUUUUUCGAAUCCCACGGGACCACAGGUUUGCUGCGUUAUAAGAGACCAGCUCAGUGUAUCUCCUGAUUUAAAUGGGGAAAUUUAGCCUUUUGAAGUACUUUCGCAUGGUUAUAACCUUCAUUGCGCCGUUGAGAGGCAUUACGAAUCAGUUUGGGAGUCUUCAAUGCGGUGUGCAUUUGAUUCUUGCAGCAAAUGCAUUUUCUUUUUUUGUGGUAUGAGCAGUAUAACCCUUGCACAUGUCACAUGUUGUGCCUCUUUGUCGGCAUUUUUUGUCUUUAAGGAAAAUUUGCAAUAUGAAUAUUGUAUCGCUCCGAGCUAGACAUGGUACAGAGCCCUACAUCUGUUCGGUAAUUACAAAAGCAGUGCACACUUUUUUUUUUCAGAGUAAUGUAUCGUUCCUUAAAUGCCUGGUGCAUCAUGCAUGUACGCACUCGUGUUGGGCUGUCAUGAAAUAUUGAAUGCUUAUUUUUUGGACGAUGCAGCGCACUGUUUUUAAAAUGCGCGCAGGUCGACGGUAUGUGUGGCAUACACCCGAAGGGCUGACCUUGUGCAAAACACAGUCAAAUCUAUCGUAUACAGCAUACAGGAUUUGCAGUGACCAUUGUAUUGCGCAAGACUUCAUGGACCCAGGGCGCAUACGGCUCACUAAAACGCCCGUGCCAACAGGUAAUUUAGGUACGCAAUGGAACAGUUGCAGCAUUAGCACUAUCUUAGUGCACCUUCGCCGUGCAUAACGUAUGUGUCAAUGUCUUCAUAAAAUAGUUUGCAAUAGCAGUUUUUGUAGCAUUUAUUGCAGCAUUAACCAGCAUCACGUGGGCAUUCAUUUCUAUUUAAAUAUUGCAUAUUCUGCUCGUGUGGCACCUGUCGAAGGUUUUGUAUUUAAUUCACUUGGAAACAAUGCACCAGAGGACUAUCCGGUAGAAGCUUUAUGCAUCAGCGUGUAGUCUGAUGGCCCUCCCGUGCAAGGUGCUAGCAGUACCCAGUGUUUGCUAAUGGCAACCUCACUAACACGCGAAUUUUAAAAUUCAUUCGGGUUACGCCUAUCCUGUAACUGAGGAGCAAGCUGGCGAAGGUGUCCUGCAGGAGGACGAGAAGGGCUUCAUCAUGACGGUGAGCUGUGUUGCCGAAGGCGAGUUUGGCAUCAAGCUUUGCUUAACAAAUUGGCAAUGUCGAGUCAUUUUCCAGGAAACCUACCAGGCUAAGUUGCUACCGUGAGCGAGCUAGAUGCUACAGACUCCCAAAUGGACAUCUCUUGCAGCAGUUCGACUGGGGUUGAGCGUUGUGCUGUUCAUGUUGAUGCGUCCAUGGUCUCCGCAAGUGCCAGCAGCUUUCCCUAUUCAGCCUGGAGCUUAGUAGGAGGCUUCCCUGUUGCUUGCAACAGUGCAGCAAAGGGUUCUCCGUUGAAGAAAUUUAGGAGGACCAUCCGACUACUGCAGUCUAAGGUAGCAAGCUGCUAGCGGACUAUCUCACGGUUGCGGAAGAACCAGUGCAAGUUACCACCGUCCAUUUCAAUGGCACUAGGCAUUAUACAUCCACAUGUGACAGAAGAGGUUUAUAAACUGCUGUCUACACACGUGCAGUUGCAGCAGAG